rnacentral:sRNA from 1 species
GCUGAACAUGGUGGUGCAUGCUUGUAAUCCUGGCAACUUUGGAAGGCUGAGGCAGGAGGAUUGCCAAGUUCCAGGCCAGUCUUGGCAACUUAGUGAGACCCUGUCUCAA